UACGAAGGGGGCUAGCGUUGUUCGGAAUUACUGGGCGUAAAGGGCGCGCAGGCGGUCUUCCAAGUCAGAUGUGAAAGCCCCGGGCUCAACCUGGGAACAGCAUUUGAGACUGGGAGACUUGAGUUCGGGAGAGGAGAGCGGAAUUCCCAGUGUAGAGGUGAAAUUCGUAGAUAUUGGGAAGAACACCGGUGGCGAAGGCGGCUCUCUGGACCGAUACUGACGCUGAGGCGCGAAAGCGUGGGGAGCAAACAGG
rnacentral:rRNA from 1 species